rnacentral:lncRNA from 1 species
UCAUUAUUAUUUGAUCCUCACAGUUCUAAAUUAACUUUAAAAUUUUAAAAACCCAAUUCACCCCCCCUAUUGGGUUGCAUAGCUGGGCAACACACAAUCUUAUAGCUGUUCAACAGCCUUCUAUAUAAGCAACCAAAGCUCCGAGUAUCAAGUAAGUCAAUCAAUCUCUCUCAGAGAAUUCAUUGCCAUUCCUAUUGAUCUCUAAAUCUGACUUAAGCAUC